rnacentral:rRNA from 1 species
AGAGUUUGAUCCUGGCUCAGAACGAACGCUGGCGGCGUGCUUAACACAUGCAAGUCGAACGUGAAAGUGGCUUCGGCCAUGAGUAAAGUGGCAGACGGGUGAGUAACACGUGGGUAACCUGCCCCUUGGCGGGGGAUAACCAUUCGAAAGGAUGGCUAAUACCGCAUAAGACCACGUCCUUAUGGGAUGGGGUAAAAGACGAAAGUCACCGAGGGAGGGGCCCGCGGCCGAUUAGCUAGUUGGUGAGGUAAUGGCUCACCAAGGCGACGAUCGGUAGCUGGUCUGAGAGGAUGAUCAGCCACACUGGUACUUAGACACGGACCAGACUCCUACGGGAGGCAGCAGUGAGGAAUAUUGCGCAAUGGGGGCAACCCUGACGCAGCGACGCCGCGUGGAUGAUGAAGGCCUUCGGGUCGUAAAAUCCUGUCAGAUGGAAAGAAGUGUUAUGUGGUUAAUACCCAUGUAGCUUGACGGUACCAUCGAAGGAAGCACCGGCUAACUCCGUGCCAGCAGCCGCGGUAAUACGGAGGGUGCAAGCGUUGUUCGGAAUUACUGGGCGUAAAGCGCGCGUAGGCGGUUUUAUAAGUCAGAUGUGAAAGCCCAUGGCUUAACCAUGGACGUGCAUUUGAAACUGUGAGACUUGAGUAUUGGAGGGGGUGGUGGAAUUCCCGGUGUAGAGGUGAAAUUCGUAGAUAUCGGGAGGAAUACCAGUGGCGAAGGCGACCACCUGGCCAAAUACUGACGCUCAUGUGCGAAAGCGUGGGGAGCAAACAGGAUUAGAUACCCUGGUAGUCC